rnacentral:rRNA from 1 species
ACGGAAGGCAGCAGUGGGGGAUAUUGCACAAUGGAGGAAACCCUGAUGCAGCAACGCCACGUGUGGGAAGAAGCAUUUCGGUGUGUAAACCACUGUCGUGAGGGAAUAAUGCUUGGUUUCGGCCAAGUUGAAUGUACCUCGAAAGGAAGCACCGGCAAACUUCGUGCCAGCAGCCGCGGUAAUACGAGGGGUGCAAGCGUUGUUCGGAAUCACUGGGCGUAAAGGGAGCGCAGGCGGAGAUGCAAGCAGUCUGUACAAUCCCGGGGCCCAACCCCGGACCUGCAGACUGGACUGUUUCUCUUGGAUAGUUCAGGGGCAAGCGGAAUUCCUGGUGUAGCGGUGGAAUGCGUAGAGAUCAGGAAGAACACCGAUGGCGAAGGCAGCUUGCUGGGGACUUAUCGACGCUCAUGCUCGAAAGUGCGGGUAGCAAACAGGAUUAGAUACCCUGGUA